AAUCUGAUGACGUACAUCGUGUGUAACUCAGUAACCAUCCCCCCUUUCAUCUUUGACACAAACGGGCAAUGUCCCUGGACACAGAAAGUGUUGCCGUACAUCCUCAGUCAUAGUGCCUAGCUCUGUGUGUGUGUGUAUACAUGUGUGUGUACCCAUUGAAGCAUUACAGAUGUACGCUGGAAAGUCUUUCUUACCGGUGGUAUUACUGUAAGUCACUCAGUCACUCCGUAGCGAGGGUUAAGUAAGGAGUGCUCUGUCUCAUCGAUCGAUUGAUCUAGACCUCGGUUUUCUUCACUGCUGGAUUUCACUCUGAAGACUUUCUUCUCUGUUGAAGCCAAAGGUACAACUAUUGUCAGAGGUUGAAUUUGUAUGCAGAAAGUGAGGAGCGGACUAACAGAUUCAGUAAAGGCUCUCUGGAUUGAACUGAUUCUUUUGAAGAGGAAGGACAUUUUAGUUGGAGUGUAAGCAGUUCUUUCCUAUAGAGAGAAGGAA